UUCUAGCUAUGUACAUGUGCUAGAAUUCUAUGGAGAAUUCUAGAGAGUCUAGAGAGUUCUAUUACUUUCUAGCUAGGUACAUGUGCUAGAAUUCUAUUGAGAAUUCUAGAGUAUUUCCAAGCUCAAAUGGACUAGAGUUCUCUAGAACGUUCAGGAAUCUAGAGUUGCCUAGAAUGUUCUGGAAUUGGGCUAUUUAUUUUUCAUAAUUUCUUAAGCCCAAAUAAUUAUAACAAAAUCAAGUUUAUUUUAUUUUCAACA
rnacentral:lncRNA from 1 species